AUGAAGUUUUAUGCUACUUUCUGCAACUUUGUGAUUUUCAAUUCAUUUCUUUCCCAUUUCUUCUCCUUUUCUCAUGUAGGCCUUUUGAAAAAUAAUUACCUGAAACAAACUCGAAAUACCAACGUAAUGCAACAUAAUCUAGAUACAUGGUUAGCCUCUUUAUUGUUAAGUGUGUUUGAGAUUUGA